UACGAAGGGGGCUAGCGUUGCUCGGAAUUACUGGGCGUAAAGGGAGCGUAGGCGGACUGUUAAGUUAGAGGUGAAAGCCCAGGGCUCAACCUUGGAAUUGCCUUUGAUACUGGCAGUCUUGAGUACGGAAGAGGUAUGUGGAACUCCGAGUGUAGAGGUGGAAUUCGUAGAUAUUAGGAAGAACACCAGUGGCGAAGGCGGCUCACUGGUCCGGUACUGACGCUGAGGUGCGAAAGCGUGGGGAGCAAACAGG
rnacentral:rRNA from 1 species